rnacentral:rRNA from 1 species
AACAGUUUGGUCCUGGCCUUUCCAUUGGUCUUAGGUAAAACUACACAUGCAAGUAUCCGCCCCCCAGUGAGAAUGCCCUCUAAAUCACACCCGAUUAAAAGGAGCGGGCAUCAAGCACGCAUCACAUGCAGCUCACAACGCCUUGCUUAACCACGCCCCCACGGGACACAGCAGUGAUAAAAAUUAAGCCAUGAACGAAAGUUCGACUAAGUUAUACCUAUCUUAGGGUUGGUAAAUUUCGUGCCAGCCACCGCGGUCAUACGAUUAACCCAAAUCAAUGGAAACACGGCGUAAAGCGUGUUUAAGAGUACAAAAAAUAAAGUUAAAUUCUGGCUAAGCCGUAAAAAGCCCUAGCCAAGACAAAAAUAAGCCACGAAAGUGACUUUAUAAUUUUCUGAAUACACGAUAGCUAAGACCCAAACUGGGAUUAGAUACCCCACUAUGCUUAGCCCUAAACCCAGAUAAUACGUACAACAAUAUUAUCCGCCAGAGUACUACUAGCAACAGCCUAAAACUCAAAGGACUUGGCGGUGCUUUAUAUCCUUCUAGAGGAGCCUGUCCUGUAAUCGAUAAACCCCGAUAUACCUCACCAGUCCUUGCUAAUUCAGCCUAUAUACCGCCAUCCUCAGCAAACCCUAAAAGGAAACGCAGUAAGCAAUAAUCAUUAGAACAUAAAACGUUAGGUCAAGGUGUAG